rnacentral:rRNA from 1 species
UCAAUAAGCGGAGGAAAAGAAACUAACAAGGAUUCCCCUAGUAACGGCGAGUGAAGCGGGAAGAGCUCAAAUUUGUAAUCUGGCACUUUCAGUGUCCGAGUUGUAAUCUCGAGAAGUGUUUUCCGCGCCAGACCGCAUACAAGUCUGUUGGAAUACAGCGUCAUAGUGGUGAGAACCCCGUAACUGAUGCGGAUGCCUGGUGCUCUGUGAUACACUUUCGAAGAGUCGAGUUGUUUGGGAAUGCAGCUCAAAUUGGGUGGUAAAUUCCAUCUAAAGCUAAAUAUUGGCGAGAGACCGAUAGCGAACAAGUACCGUGAGGGAAAGAUGAAAAGCACUUUGGAAAGAGAGUUAACAGUACGUGAAAUUGUUGGAAGGGAAACGCUUGAAGUCAGACUUGCUAUUUGGAAUUCAGCCGCAAGGUGUAUUUUUCAAUUCGCAGGCCAGCAUCAGUUUUUGGGGGUGGAAAAGGGUAGAGAGAAGGUAGCAACUCCGGUUGUGUUAUAGCUCUUUGCUGGAUUCAUCCUUGGGGACUGAGGAACGCAGCACGCUUUUUGCAAGGCUUUCGAGCUUUUCGUGCUUAGGAUGCUGGUGGAAUGGCUUUAAACGACCCGUCUUGAAACACGGACCAAGGAGUCUAACAUGCUUGCGAGUGUUUGGGUGUYAAACCCGGAYGCGCAAUGAAAGUGAAUGGAGGUGGGAUSCCGCAAGGUGCACCAUCGACCGAUCUGGAUUUUCUAAGAUGGAUUUGAGUAAGAGCAAUUAUGUUGGGA